rnacentral:rRNA from 1 species
GACGAACGCUGGCGGCGUGCUUAACACAUGCAAGUCGAACGGAAAGGCCCUGCUUGCAGGGUACUCGAGUGGCGAACGGGUGAGUAACACGUGGGUGAUCUGCCCUGCACUUCGGGAUAAGCCUGGGAAACUGGGUCUAAUACCGGAUAGGAGCCAUUUUUAGUGUGAUGGUUGGAAAGUUUUUUCGGUGUAGGAUGAGCUCGCGGCCUAUCAGCUUGUUGGUGGGGUAAUGGCCUACCAAGGCGGCGACGGGUAGCCGGCCUGAGAGGGUGGACGGCCACAUUGGGACUGAGAUACGGCCCAGACGCCUACGGGAGGCAGCAGUGGGGAAUAUUGCACAAUGGGCGCAAGCCUGAUGCAGCGACGCCGCGUGGGGGAUGACGGCCUUAGGGUUGUAAACUCCUUUCGCUAGGGACGAAGCUUUUUGUGACGGUACCUAGAUAAGAAGCACCGGCUAACUACGUG